rnacentral:rRNA from 1 species
GACGGAGGAGGCAAGCGUUUUCCGGAAUUAUUGGGCGUAAAGGGUACGUAGGCGGCUGGUCGAGUCUGGGGUCAAAGGCCACAGCUCAACUGUGGGAAGGCCCUGGAGACUGACCGGCUAGAGUGAGGUAGGGGUUGCGGGAAUUCCCGGUGUAGCGGUGAAAUGCGUAGAGAUCGGGAAGAACACCUGAGGCGGAAGCGCGCAACUGGGCCUCAACUGACGCUGAGGUACGAAAGCUAGGGGAGCGAAUGGG